AUUACCAUGACGACCUGUCAAUCAGGCGAGAGUGACUCAUACCCAGGGCACUGUGUAAAUUUAACCAGCGCCAUUGAAAAAGCAUAUUAGGAGCUGGCUGUUCACUUUCUCUGUCUGCCUUCUGGUUGCACAGCCUGAACCUGGAUAGCAUCUCACAGGUUUCAUAUGGCAUACUGAUGAUCCCCACAGUCGGCCUGAGCGUCAAACACAUAGCUCGAUGGCAGACAAUGCCCAUUGGUACAACUGAACUGUGCCAGCCGGCAGGUCCUCUGGGAACAUGUCUCUACCUCCUCGUCGCUGCAGUCCGAACAGUAAUUUACUCCGUUGCAGUGCCAGGAUACAGGGAUUCACUUCUUGUUUACACUGGAACUCGCUUUCCUGGCAUCAGUGGUCACCUACGGGGACAGGCUGCAGCUUGAAUACCCCCCUUGAGAGAGCGAUCUGAGUGGCCGUCUGUAGGUACAGCUCCCAUCUUGACAUUGGAACUGGCCAAUGGGGAAAUAACGGGACGGGUGGGCCUAAGGUUCAUCUGAGCCAUCAUUGCUAUCUGAUUAUAGGAACACACAUAAGGACAAGAGAAACCACAAUCAGUCCUUUGUCUCCAAUUUUCUAAAAUAUCCGUCUGUCUUGACAAGAAAUGGCGGACUGCAUGAACACCAGGGGAAAUUAUGCAAAACUGGAUGCUGGAGCAUUCAAUGACACGCUGGAUCUUGAAGCCCAGAGUGAGGAAGUAAUCUGGACACUGGCAGGAAGCCUGCUGCCCACCAGGAGCAAUCAGACAGAAAUUACUGUAGGUCAGGUGAUGGGAGGCGCAGGUGUUUUCACCUGGGAAACAAGUUGAUUAAAAAAAAAAAAAACAUUGGUCAGAGCUGCAGUCCAUUCAGACAAGAAUCUACAGUUCAUGUGUAUGUACUGCGAGGCUACGGCAACCCAGUCCUCAAACAGGGAAACAGCAAAGACAUGGGGAAGUGUACCAGCAAUGGCCCAGUGUUAGUUCUGGCCAUUGCAUCUGUGUCUGCAAAGAUGGAGGGUUAAUAGCUGUACAUACAGGGUUAAUACAUGUUGUGUUUAUGGAAUUCAGAGCCCCGUUGAAGCAUAUUUGAUGGCAACUCAAGAUGGACUGAUGUCUGAAUCUCAAUCCAAAAAGUUGAAGGUGGAAUCAGAAAUGAAGAUCUUGUUGGCGGAGUAGUCUGCACACAGCCGCUCCAGCUUGGUUUUGAUGACGGCAAUGACAUUGCGUCCGUUCAUGCCAACUCUGCCAAUAUAUGCUGUGUCACCCCAGUCAGUCCAGUACAGCCAUCUGGGGGGUAAUAAAAAGACAGGAAGGAAGAAAACAGGAGGGAUGGGAAAGUCAAUUGCAGUGGAUUUUUACCAACAUAAAUGGCAGCAAAUAGCAAACCGCUAGUAUUAC